GACGAACGCUGGCGGCGUGCCUAAUACAUGCAAGUCGAGCGGACUGAAUGGGAGCUUGCUCUUGUUCGGUCAGCGGCGGACGGGUGAGUAACACGUGGGCAACCUGCCCGCAAGACCGGGAUAACUCCGGGAAACCGGAGCUAAUACCGGAUAACACCGAAGACCGCAUGGUCUUUGGUUGAAAGGCGGCGCAAGCUGCCACUUGCGGAUGGGCCCGCGGCGCAUUAGCUAGUUGGUGAGGUAACGGCUCACCAAGGCGACGAUGCGUAGCCGGCCUGGGAGGGUGACCGGCCACACUGGGACUGAGACACGGCCCAGACUCCUACGGGAGGCAGCAGUAGGGAAUCUUCCGCAAUGGGCGAAAGCCUGACGGAGCGACGCCGCGUGAGCGAAGAAGGCCUUCGGGUCGUAAAGCUCUGUUGUGAGGGACGAAGGAGCGCCGUUUGAAGAAGGCGGCGCGGUGACGGUACCUCACGAGGAAGCCCCGGCUAACUACGUG
rnacentral:rRNA from 1 species